rnacentral:rRNA from 1 species
CAAGGGGAGCGGCAGACGGGUGAGUAACGCGUGGGAAUCUACCUUUUGCUACGGAAUAACUCAGGGAAACUUGUGCUAAUACCGUAUGUGCCCUUCGGGGGAAAGAUUUAUCGGCAAAGGAUGAGCCCGCGUUGGAUUAGCUAGUUGGUGAGGUAAAGGCUCACCAAGGCGACGAUCCAUAGCUGGUCUGAGAGGAUGAUCAGCCACACUGGGACUGAGACACGGCCCAGACUCCUACGGGAGGCAGCAGUGGGGAAUAUUGGACAAUGGGCGCAAGCCUGAUCCAGCCAUGCCGCGUGAGUGAUGAAGGUCUUAGGAUUGUAAAGCUCUUUCACCGGUGAAGAUAAUGACGGUAACCGGAGAAGAAGCCCCGGCUAACUUCGUGCCAGCAGCCGCGGUAAUACGAAGGGGGCUAGCGUUGUUCGGAUUUACUGGGCGUAAAGCGCACGUAGGCGGACUUUUAAGUCAGGGGUGAAAUCCCGGGGCUCAACCCCGGAACUGCCUUUGAUACUGGAAGUCUUGAGUAUGGUAGAGGUGAGUGGAAUUCCGAGUGUAGAGGUGAAUUUUCGUAGAUAU